AAAACAACCACAAAAUCACCACAAAGCAACCACAAAAACACACAAAAUCACCGCUGAAAAGACAGAAAAUGAUCUCAAAGACACCAAACAACCACUGUAGGUCAGAAACAGACCAUAAAAACACACAAAACAACCACAAAAAGACAGAAACUGACCCCAAAAACACAUAAAACAACCACAAAAUCACCACAAAACAACCACAAAAACACAUAAAAUCACCACGAAAAGACAGAAAAUCAUCUCAAAGACACCAAACAACCACUGUAGGUCAGAAACAGACCAUAAAAACACACAAAACAACCACAAAAAGACAGAAACUGACCCCAAAACACAUAAAACAACCACAAAAUCACCACAAAACAACCACAAAAACACAUAAAAUCACCACGAAAAGACAGAAAAUCAUCUCAAAGACACCAAACAACCACUGUAGGUCAGAAACAGACCAUAAAAACACACAAAACAACCACAAAAAGACAGAAACUGACCC